rnacentral:misc_RNA from 1 species
UUUCCGUAGGUGAACCUGCGGAAGGAUCAUUAACACAACAAGUCAACACUCUUCACCGAGUGUUUUCUUCUUAACCCCCCUUUUGUGCGAACGUGUGUUUCUAUACCGUUUGGGGGGAUGGUACCUGGGCAGCGCUCGCUCUUUUUUGAAGAGAGCUGCUGCUGCUGCUGCUGGGCCAUCCCUUUCUUUCAACCUUUUUAUUAACCCCUUGAACUGUCUUUGACUGAACUUGGUCUGAUUUCUUUCUUCGAAAGAACAAAGAAAAAGGACUAUACAUCCAACGCUGAACAACUCUUAGCAACGGAUAUCUUGGCUCUC